AAUAUUGGACAAUGGGCGAAAGCCUGAUCCAGCCAUCCCGCGUGUGUGAAGAAGGNCUNNGGAUUNUNAAGCCCUUUAAGUUGNNNNNAAGGGGUUGAAGCUAAUACCUUCAAACUUUGACGUUACCAACAGCAUAAGCACCGUCUAACUCUGCGCCAGCAGCCUCGGUAACACAGAGGGUGCAAGCGUAAAUCGGAAUUACGGGGCGUGAAGCGCAGGUAGUUUGGUCAGUAAGUUGGAAGUGAAAUCCCCGGGCUUAACCUGGGAACUGCUUUCAUAACUGCUGAGCUAGAGUACGGUAGAGGUUAGUGGAAUUUCCUGUGUAGCGGUGAAAUGCGUAGAUAUAGGAAGGAACACCAGUGGCGAAGGCGACUACCUGGACUGAUACUGACACUGAAGUGCGAAAGCGUGGGGAGCAAACA
rnacentral:rRNA from 1 species